CCCUCUGUCCCUAUCUACUAUCUAGCGAAACCACUGCCAAGGGAACGGGCUUGGAAAAAUCAGCGGGGAAAGAAGACCCUGUUGAGCUUGACUCUAGUCUGGCACUGUAAGGAGACAUGAGAGGUGUAGCAUAAGUGGGAGACGGUAUCCAUCCCGUCGCCGGUGAAAUACCACUACUUUCAUCGUUUCUUUACUUACUUGGUUAGGCGGAAGGCGUACGUCGAGGGUAUUACACCCCGGCGGUACGGUCUUCUCGCGCCAAGCGUUCAAGGGUUGCCAACGGCAGGAGUGCGAGGCAGCGUCGGUGAGUCGUGUAACCCGGCUUGCCGGGCCACGGCCCGGCGUCGCCUAUCGCGCUCUCUGAUCCCGUCGGCAAGCACUCCCUAGCGUGAUCCGAUCCGAGGACACUGCCAGGCGGGGAGUUUGACUGGGGCGGUACAUCUGUCAAAGAAUAACGCAGGUGUCCUAAGGCCAGCUCAGCGAGGACAGAAACCUCGCGUAGAGCAAAAGGGCAAAUGCUGGCUUGAUCCCGAUGUUCAGUACGCAUAGGGACUGCGAAAGCACGGCCUAUCGAUCCUUUUGGCUUGAAGAGUUUUCAGCAAGAGGUGUCAGAAAAGUUACCACAGGGAUAA
rnacentral:rRNA from 1 species